rnacentral:rRNA from 1 species
UACGUAGGGUGCAAGCGUUUAAUCGGAAUUACUGGGCGUAAAGCGUGCGCAGGCGGUUCCGCAAGUCAGAUGUGAAAUCCCCGGGCUCAACCUGGGAAACUGCAUUUGAAACUACGGAGCUAGAGUGUGUCAGAGGGGGGUGGAAUUCCACGUGUAGCAGUGAAAUGCGUAGAGAUGUGGAGGAACACCAAUGGCGAAGGCAGCCCCCUGGGAUGACACUGACGCUCAUGCACGAAAGCGUGGGGAGCAAACAGG